GCAUAAAGAGUAAGAGUCAAGUGAUUUCAAAUGUAGGAAUUAAAAGCCUUUCUGCAUCUUUUUUGAAAAGAAUUGACAAUAAAAUCCUUCAACCAAUAGAUGAAUGAAUGAAUCUAGAAAAGGAGAAGCCAUAGAGAUUGAACUAGUGGAGUUGAUUGAAUUUAUAUGAAUGAAGCAGUCGGUUGGAUUAGAAUUCAUAGAUGAGUAUCCGUCAAAACUCAAGCCUACCCGUAUCAUCUCUAAUUAGUUGUUUGUGGCCCAGAGUUGAGUAAACGGAGAUAUUAGAUGUGAAGGUAUUUAGAAUGUGCUUCUCCGCAGUCUGAGCCCUGGUCCACCGUCCUCUCUUGCAUUUGAAGCUUCACCCUGACCAAGACCUCACAAGUCAGCUACAAUGUUCAAAGUGUCUGAGAUUGGUCAAAAACCCCCCUCUCUGGCAAGGCCAUCUGUGCUAAGAUCAUUUCCCCUAUUUAAAUAUUUAAAAAUAUGCACUUACAUGUCUUAUAUUUCCUUCUAUCCAAAGAUAAAGCCAUUUAAGAGGUUUGGUGGUUUGGUUGGUUUAUGACAGGAAGAUGAGAACCAAAAUGUGGAAGAUAUGCUAAAAAUAAUUUAAUUAAAAGCGCAUAAAUUUUGUU
ensembl:lncRNA